rnacentral:rRNA from 1 species
ACGGAAGGCAGCAGUGGGGAAUAUUGCACAAUGGGCGCAAGCCUGAUGCAGCGAUGCCGCGUGAGGGAAGAAGGUUUUCGGAUUGUAAACCUCUGUCAACAGGGACGAAAAUGACGGUACCUGUGAAGGAUGCUCCGGCUAACUACGUGCCAGCAGCCGCGGUAAUACGUAGGGAGCAAGCGUUAUCCGGAAUUACUGGGUGUAAAGGGAGUGUAGGCGGGACUGUAAGUCAGAUGUGAAAUAUGCCGGCUCAACUGGCAGACUGCAUUUGAAACUGCGGUUCUUGAGUGAAGUAGAGGUAAGCGGAAUUCCUAGUGUAGCGGUGAAAUGCGUAGAUAUUAGGAGGAACAUCAGUGGCGAAGGCGGCUUACUGGGCUUUAACUGACGCUGAGGCUCGAAAGCGUGGGGAGCAAACAGGAUUAGAUACCCUGGUA